GAAGACAGCUGGUUGUCAUCAUGGAUUCAGCUCAUCUAGAAAGCUCCCCAUUGAGUAUGCUGGCUGCAAAAUCUUUUCCCAUCCUGUCCUGGGCAAUGUCCCAAGACUAUAAUUCUGCAGUAAAGCUGUUGAUCUGUAUUAAGAGAGGGAGUUUUUGCAACCAGUAAAAGAGUGGCCCAUCCCAAGAUGGACAUGUCUAAGUUUGAAAGUGACCUCAGGAAUUCAAAGGGGCUGGAGUUUCCAUUUGAUUGGAGCUGAAUGAUAGCAGAGGAGGAAUCUCUGAACACGGCUCCUGAAUGCUUGGAGAGGAUGGCUACUGAUGAGAGCCUCUUCGAGAAAGAGCACAGGUUUGAAUCAGCAUUGGCUUUCCACGUUAGAGCUCCCAACACUUCCCAAUGCCAGAAUUUUGAUUCUCAGCAUGCGUUGAAGAAUGUUAUAGCUAUGGAAGAAUAAAACAUCCUGUGACUCAAUUCAGAGUCUCUUCUCAGGUUUAAAAAAAGCUGGAGAAUCUAUUCCCAAGUUGGAGGGGAUAGAACUAUAAUUAGAAUUGUUUUUUCAUAUGUGGUUUGAGAAAGAGGGGAGCCCCCAGUGGUGACAAUCUGAUGAUGGGUACAACAAAAAACAGGAGAAAGGUGGAAAUAUGGCUUUUAUCCCAUUGAGACUUAGAAGGAAAGGUAGACCCAGGAGAGGAGUGACUAGGUUGGGUGGCUAUAUUCACAUCCUAACAAGGAUACCUGGCAAUGGUAGUUCCAGAGAGGAAGUGUGUCUUUUAUUUCUUCCAAGAGGAAGGUCAUCAUCCCUUUCUAAUGGUAGCUUGGCGCCAAGCUUUGCUCAUCCCAGGCUAGUUCGAUUCUAGGAGGGGACAUGGAGUCUUUCUGUAGCAUAGUAGA